AACGAACGCUGGCGGCAUGCCUAACACAUGCAAGUCGAACGAGACCUUCGGGUCUAGUGGCGCACGGGUGCGUAACGCGUGGGAACCUGCCCUUAGGUUCGGAAUAACUCCCCGAAAGGGGUGCUAAUACCGGAUAAUGUCUUCGGACCAAAGAUUUAUCGCCUUUGGAUGGGCCCGCGUUGGAUUAGCUAGUUGGUAGGGUAAAAGCCUACCAAGGCGACGAUGCAUAGCUGGUCGGAGAGGAUGAUCAGCCACACUGGGACUGAGACACGGCCCAGACUCCUACGGGAGGCAGCAGUGGGGAAUAUUGGACAAUGGGCGAAAGCCUGAUCCAGCAAUGCCGCGUGAGUGAUGAAGGCCUUAGGGUUGUAAAGCUCUUUUACCCGGGAUGAUAAUGACAGUACCGGGAGAAGAAGCUCCGGCUAACUCCGUG
rnacentral:rRNA from 1 species